rnacentral:rRNA from 1 species
GAUGAACGCUGGCGGCGUGCCUAAUACAUGCAAGUCGAGCGAAUGGAUUAAGAGCUUGCUCUUAUGAAGUUAGCGGCGGACGGGUGAGUAACACGUGGGUAACCUGCCCAUAAGACUGGGAUAACUCCGGGCAACCGGGGCUAAUACCGGAUAACAUUUUGAAACGCAUGGUUCGAAAUUGAAAGGCGGCUUCGGCUCUCACUUAUGGAUGGACCCGGGUCGCAUUAGCUAGUUGGUGAGGUAACGGCUCACCAAGGCAACGAUGCGUAGCCGACCUGAGAGGGUGAUCGGCCACACUGGGACUGAGACACGGCCCAGACUCCUACGGGAGGCAGCAGUAGGGAAUCUUCCGCAAUGGACGAAAGUCUGACGGAGCAACGCCGCGUGAGUGAUGAAGGCUUUCGGGUCGUAAAACUCUGUUGUUAGGGAAGAACAAGUGCUAGUUGAAUAAGCUGGCACCUUGACGGUACCUAACCAGAAAGCCACGGCUAACUACGUGCCAGCCGCCGCGGUAA